rnacentral:lncRNA from 1 species
GGGGGGGGGGAGGCGCAAACGCGCGAGUGGCUGCUCCUUAAUAAAAAUAAAAAUAAAAAUUCCCUCCUUUUGAAAUAAACUCACGGCGAGCCCAGCCGAGCCCCUUCGCUUCCCGAAGAGCUCCCCCCCCCCAAAAAAAACCAACCCAACAACCCCAGGCGGUGCCCCCGGGCAUCGCUGAGGGCUGGAGCCUGGGAAAUAACCCGGGAAUUCCGGGAAACGCCGGGUACCGGGCACCGGCCCCCGCCCCGGGACCCGCACACACGCUGCGGGGAGUAUUUUAAAGGUUAAACCCAUGGUUUAUAUUUGAUUUUUUUAAUAAAAAGACCAUAAACCGGCGAUUUUUCGGCGCACACCCUCGAUUUCCUGCGAUUUUAUAAGCACCGUCGGUGUGGUGUUUUUUAUAUUAUUAUUAUUAUUAUUAUUAUUAUUUGUUUAAUGGGCACAGAUUAGGAGCAGAGUCCCCCUGGCAUUUACCGAACGCUGAUCAAAGCUGGGGGUGUCCCCGCAAGGAGCAGAUUUCACCCCCCCCGGUGCCGGUCGGAGGCGGGGGGGGGACAUCGGCAGCGUCCCCCACCGCGGUGUUUUAUGAAGUUCUCCCCGGCUCCGUGAUUUCCCCCUCCUCUGUUUGAGAAACGACUUUCUUUUCCUUCUCUUUUCCUCCACAAACGCUAAUCACGGCUUAUCAGAGAAAUGUCCAUUUCAAGUUGUUCUCCAAUUUUCUUCCCUAUUUUGGAUUUAUUUUGGUUUUUUUUUAAUUAUUAUUUUCUUCCCCCUCCCCAAUGAAUAAUAUUUUCUCUAUUCCGCCAGCUCCCCAAACCCCGAAAGAACGACAAAGAAAUGAAAUCAGGAAUCGAUUCCUUCCGCACAGCGUGGUUUGGGGAUCGGGUUGAAUAAAAAAAAUAUUAUUUUUAAAAGACCCAAAGGGAGCAAAACCUCCCCAAAAGCUCCUGGGGACGUGGCAAACGCGGCCGGUACCGUGCGCCCGGGUUAUUCCAGCUCCUCCAGCCGCAGGCAAGCGCAAGAGAGGUGGAGAAAGAGAUUUGGGGAAUCGCGCCGCUGGUUUCUACAAAAAUCUCCCGUGAGUUUCGGAACGCGGAGAACACCGUUUGGAAAAGAAAAAAAAAAAAUAAUAAAUAUUAAAAAAAAUCUCUUUCGCUUCUCCCUCUCUUGGCAAAUCCGCAAGACCAACGAGAUGAAGCGUUUUCCCCGCAAAAAAAAAAAUAAAAUAAAAUUAAAGAAAUCCUCAUUCCGGACCCGAGAGUGAGGACGGCGGCUUCGCCCACCAGGUUAUGCUUUAAAAAGUGGAUUAUUUUCUUUUUCCCGCUUUACCCCAAAGUAGGAAUUAAAGAAAUUGGCGACUUUUGCCUUCAGAGGAGGCUCGGGUGCCUCUCGGCUCCGCGCUGGGCGCCCACACCUUCAUUUAUUUAUUUUUUUGGGAGCCUCGCAAAGCCGUGCUUUAUUUUUUCUCAGCUGGAACUUUGAAGAGGAGGGAUUGGAGCCAUCAGGUCAUCCCAAUUUUUUUUUUCGGAAUUACCUCUGAAAUCAGGGGGGAAAUGCUGGCUCCUCCGUUUGAAGGCAGCCCAGGAGUUUUGUACCCGGCUCAUAAAUAAAUAUGAAUUUAUUUCUUUUUUCCA